UACAGAGGUCCCGAGCGUUGUUCGGAUUCACUGGGCGUAAAGGGUGCGUAGGUGGUGAGGUAAGUCGGAUGUGAAAUCUCCGGGCUCAACCCGGAAACUGCAUUGGAAACUACCUUGCUUGAGGGUUUGAGGGGGGACUGGAAUUCUCGGUGUAGCAGUGAAAUGCGUAGAUAUCGAGAGGAACACCAGUGGCGAAGGCGACUACCUGGACCAGCACUGACACUGAGGCACGAAAGCGUGGGGAGCAAACAGG
rnacentral:rRNA from 1 species